rnacentral:rRNA from 1 species
GACGGUGGAGGCAUGUGGUUAAUUCGAAGCAACGCGAAGAACCUUACCAGGCCUUGACAUGCAGAGAACUUUCCAGAGAUGGAUUGGUGCCUUCGGGAACGUCUGACACAGGUGCUGCAUGGCUGUCGUCAGCUCGUGUCGUGAGAUGUUGGGUUAAAGUCCCGUAACGAGCGCAACCCUUGUCCUUAGUUACCAGCACGUUAUGGUGGGCACUCUAAGGAGACUGCCGGUGACAAACCGGAGGAAGGUGGGGAUGACGUCAAGCCAUCAUGGCCCUUACGGCCUGGGCUACACACGUGCUACAAUGGUCGGUACAAAGGGUUGCCAAGCCGCGAGGUGGAGCUAAUCCCAUAAAACCGAUCGUAGUCCGGAUCGCAGUCUGCAACUCGACUGCGUGAAGUCGGAAUCGCUAGUAAUCGUGAAUCAGAAUGUCACGGUGAAUACGUUCCCGGGCCUU